ACGCUCACUUCAGCAGCACGUAUACUAAAAUUGGAACGAUACAGAGAUUACCAUAGCCCCUGUGCAAGGAUGACAUGCAACUUUGUGAAGUGUUCCAUAUUUUU